rnacentral:piRNA from 1 species
UGCAAAAGGUUUGCCUGAUGUAAUAAUGCC